AUCGCAGUCUGUAACUCGACUGCGUGAAGUCGGAAUCGCUAGUAAUCGCGGAUCAGCAUGCCGCGGUGAAUACGUUCCCGGGCCUUGUACACACCGCCCGUCACACCAUGAGAGUCGGGAACACCCGAAGUCCGUAGCCUAACCGCAAGGGGGCGCGGCCGAAGGUGGGUUCGAUAAUUGGGGUGAAGUCGUAACAAGGUAUC
rnacentral:rRNA from 1 species